CAGCCGCCACGGUAAUACGUAGGGUGCAAGCGUUAAUCGGAAUUACUGGGCGUAAAGCGCGCGUAGGCGGUUACUCAAGUCAGAGGUGAAAGCCCGGGGCUCAACCCCGGAACUGCCUUUGAAACUAGGUGACUAGAAUCUUGGAGAGGUCAGUGGAAUUCCGAGUGUAGAGGUGAAAUUCGUAGAUAUUCGGAAGAACACCAGUGGCGAAGGCGACUGACUGGACAAGUAUUGACGCUGAGGUGCGAAAGCGUGGGGAGCAAACAGGAUUAGAUACCCGUGUAGUCCCUGUCUCUUAUAC
rnacentral:rRNA from 1 species